UGCUCCGGUACGCCGAAUCCUGCCCGUCGGAGCCCGGAACCGUCGUCCCCACAGCCGUUCGGGCAGGAGCGGGGGAACCACUUCUCCGUCGGCAGGAGCACGGUGGCAGCACCGCACCGCACUCCCCGACUCGGGGUGAAGCCGCACAGCACGACGCGGCCGGGCAACUCCAGCCCGAACCCGACAGCUCACUUCGCAGGCGUCGGAGAAAGAGCGA
rnacentral:sRNA from 2 species